rnacentral:rRNA from 1 species
GUGGGGAAUCUUAGACAAUGGGCGCAAGCCUGAUCUAGCCAUGCCGCGUGAGCGAUGAAGGCCUUAGGGUUGUAAAGCUCUUUCGUGGGGGAAGAUAAUGACUGUACCCCAAGAAGAAGCCCCGGCUAACUCCGUGCCAGCAGCCGCGGUAAUACGGGGGGGGCUAGCGUUGUUCGGAAUUACUGGGCGUAAAGCGCACGUAGGCGGACUGGAAAGUCAGGGGUGAAAUCACGGGGCUCAAACCCGGAACUGCCUUUGAAACUCCCAGUCUUGAGUUCGAGAGAGGUGAGUGGAAUUCCGAGUGUAGAGGUGAAAUUCGUAGAUAUUCGGAGGAACACCAGUGGCGAAGGCGGCUCACUGGCUCGAUACUGACGCUGAGGUGCGAAAGCGUGGGGAGCAAACAGGAUUAGAAACCCGUGUAGUCC